GCAGGUUUAUCUUUGCCUAUCGAUUGUGAGGCUCGUCUCUGCUCCGCUCCCCGCACGCGAAAGCCGGUGAGCCUGUCCGCUCAAACCUUACCGAGCGGUGCCACCUACCCCCUCAAAGGCAUUAUCUCUUGGUAGCGGUCUGAAAUGAAACAUCAUCAAUCAAUCAAUCUUGACUUAUGACACCAUCAGCUGGGCUGGAUCGAGUUCCAGAGCCCAAGAACCACUUUGGUCAAAGCACACUCAUGGCAAAACCUAAAAGCACCUUCCUCAAGCCGCACACCUGUCUCCAAGGUGUGCGGCUGGGCACUAUUCCUGAGCAGGUUCGAUUUCAAUCUCUCCUUCCGUCCCGGUUCUCGUAACACCAAGGCAGAUGCCCUGUCCGUAUCCACUCACCACCGUCCAGCUCAGCAGAACCCAAACCUAUUCUCCCGUCUUCCUGUUUCAUUGGAGCAGCCACGUGGAAGACCGAGCAGGUGGUCAAGGAGGCUCAAAAGAACCAACCUGAUCCCAAGACCGGGCCUCCAAACCGCCUGCAUGUUCUCAAGUCCUACAGUGGGCCCACAACUCUAAACUCACUUGUCACCCUGGCAUCAUCUGUACUACCCAGUUCAUCCAGCAGCACUUCUGGUGGCCCAGCCUCAUCAAAGACACCCGUGAAUUCGUCCAAGCCUGCUUCGUCUGUGCCCGAGGGAAGUCUUCACACCGGCCGCAGCUGGCCUGUUGCGCUCCUUGCCGAUUCCAAGCCGGCCUUGGCCUCACAUCGCCGUGGACUUCAUUACCAGCCUGUCCCCCCCCCUAAGAAGGUCUGGAAGGAAUUCUGCAAGGCGGUGGGCGCAGCAGCCAUCUUAUCCUCGGGGUAUCAUCCACACACCAACGGCCAGACGGAGCGGGCCAAUCAAUCCCUGGAAUCGGCUCUCCACUGUGUGGCCGCACGCGACCCUUUCUCAUGGUGUAGAUUCCUCCCGUGGAUCGAACACGCUCACAACUCCCUCACCAGCUCCGCUACAAGUAUAUGCCCGUUCAUGGCUUGCUGCGGUUUCCAACCCCCACUGUUCAAAGUACAGGAGCAGGCGGUGGCAGUUCCAACCGUACAGGAUCACCUCCAGAGAGUCCAGGCGGUGUGGGAGGACGUCUGGGCGGUGUUGACCCGGUCCAUGGCACGUAACAAGCAGCUCGCGGACCGUCAUCGCUCCCCUACGCCCGAAUACAAGGUGGGUCAAUCUGUCUGGCUUUCCCCCUACUUCAGAGUCCCAUAAGAUCACUCCGCGUUUCAUUCGUCCUUUCCCCAUUACCAAAAUCAUCAAUCCCACUUCCGUCCAAUUGAAACCUCCACAGUCCUUGAAAAUUCAGCCCACGUUCCACGUCUCUUUGCUUAAGCCUGUCUUCACCUGCGUCCUAAACUCCCCCCCCCCCCCCCCCGGAUUAUUGACGACCAUACUUCCAGCAGUACCACGGCCCAUUUACCUCACGUAAACCACUCUAUUCCUCGUUCCCUUUUUGACUCGUCAUUCCUCCCGCCAAGCCAGCCGCCUGUCCUCACCACUGCCUGCCACCUGUCCGGGGGACUGCCUGCCAACCCACCUAGGACCACCUACAUUACCUUUCCGAAAUAAAUCGUUCAUCAUAAUCUAUCUGCCUCCGCCUGCUCUUGGGUCCAGCUCCUCUCCAUAUGUGACAACCAUGU